rnacentral:rRNA from 1 species
GAUGAACGCUGGCGGCGUGCCUAGUACAUGCAAGUCGAGCGAACAGACGAGGAGCUUGCUCCUCUGACGUUAGCGGCGGACGGGUGAGUAACACGUGGAUAACCUGCCUAUAAGACUGGGAUAACUUCGGGAAACCGGAGCUAAUACCGGAUAAUAUAUUGAACCGCAUGGUUCAAUAGUGAAAGACGGUUUUGCUGUCACUUAUAGAUGGAUCCGCGCCGCAUUAGCUAGUUGGUAAGGUAACGGCUUACCAAGGCAACGAUGCGUAGCCGACCUGAGAGGGUGAUCGGCCACACUGGAACUGAGACACGGUCCAGACUCCUACGGGAGGCAGCAGUAGGGAAUCUUCCGCAAUGGGCGAAAGCCUGACGGAGCAACGCCGCGUGAGUGAUGAAGGUCUUCGGAUCGUAAAACUCUGUUAUUAGGGAAGAACAAAUGUGUAAGUAACUAUGCACGUCUUGACGGUACCUAAUCAGAAAGCCACGGCUAACUACGUG